rnacentral:rRNA from 1 species
AGAAGCAGCCAUCCUUUAAAGAGUGCGUAAUAGCUCACUAGUCGAGGGGUUCUGCGCCGAAAAUUAUCGGGGCUAAACUAUACACCGAAGCUGCGGGAUUCUUUAUGAAUCGGUAGGGGAGCGUUCUCAAUGCACUGAAUCUGAAUUGUGAAAUUUGGUGGAGCGUUGAGAAGUGAGAAUGUCGGCAUGAGUAGCGACAAUCUUUGUGAGAAUCAAAGACACCGGAAGUCCGAGGUUUCCUACGCAACGUUGAUCGGCGUAGGGUUAGUCGGUCCUAAGGAGAAGCCGAAAGGUGAAUUCGAUGGACAGCUGGUCAAAAUUCCAGCACCGUAAUUAUCCUGUUAUGCAACGAAGGGACGCGAUAAGGACUGUUAAGCAUGCCUAUGGACAUGGUGUGUGGGGCCUUGUAGGGAAGUGAUUGUGGUUAAAAGAACAGUUACGUUAUUAACUGAGAAGGUUUCAGACCUUAAGGCUUCGGCCUUAGGGAAUUUAACACGAACUAUGUCGCCAAGAAAAGCUUCGUUGAUAGGGAUAUUAUGACCGUACCGAAAACCGACACAGGUGGACAGGGGUAAAAGCCCCAAGGUGAACGAGAAAACCAUCCUCAAGGAACUCGGCAAAUUAACCCCGUAACUUCGGAAUAAGGGGAGCCUAAAAUAUAUAGACUUCGCGUUGAAAGUAUUUUAGGCCGCAGAGAAUUGGUCUGAGCGACUGUUUAUCAAAAACACAGGUCCGUGCUAAAGCGAAAGCUGAUGUAUACGGGCUGACGCCUGCCCAGUGCCGGUAGGUUAAAGUGAAGAGUGAGAGCUUUGAUCUGAAGCCCCGGUGAACGGCGGCCGUAACUAUAACGGUCCUAAGGUAGCGAAAUCCCUUGUCGGGUAAGUUCCGACCUGCACGAAAGGCGUAACGACUUGGACACUGUCUCGAGGGUGGACUCGGUGAAAUUGCAUGACCCGUAAAGAUGCGGGUUACGCGCAGCAGGACAAAAAGACCCCGUGGAGCUUUACUGUAGCUUGGCAUUGAAUUGUGAUUAAUGAUGUGUAGGAUAGGCGGGAGACUAUGAAUUUUGAGCGUCAGCUCAAUUGGAGUCGCCCUUGAAAUACCGCCCUUCUUUGGUCUUGAUUCUAACUUUUUUAGGACAGUGUCUGGUAGGCAGUUUGACUGGGGCGGUCGCCUCCUAAAAAGUAACGGAGGCGCCCAA